rnacentral:rRNA from 1 species
CUAAAAAAAAGCACGCCACAGAUGUUGUAUAGAAAAAAAAGAACAUAUCUUUUCUCCCCACCACUUAUCUCCGCUGAUUCAUCUCUCCCAUCGGCAUGGAUCCCCUAACCUCUCUCCUCCGAUCCUCCCCUGUGGAGACGUUCUCCAUGCCUCUCCAUGCGCCCCCGCAUCCAUGGGUCUCCGUCGCCAGCGUGGCUCCGCGCCUCAUCUGGUGUGGCUGCACAGCGUCUUCGCACGCGCGGGAGAUGAAUUGCGCUCGAUGGUGCUGCUCCGCCUCGGCUACAUCGACUUCGACGCCGACGGUUCGGUAAGGCACUUCUCCCAUCUUCUCUUAUCCUUCCAGCCGCUGCCCACCUACAUGGCCGCCGCACCUCAUGCACGAGUCCGAAGGCGCAACGCGCACUACACACACCGCCUACGUGCCCCUUCCCUGGCGUCUUUGUGAUGCUCGACGCCACCGCCCGACCCUCUGCCACGGCAGGCAGCCGAUGCCUUUCCCCCAAGCGCUGCCUCGGCGCCCCUCUCCUGGCCUCGGUAGGAUUCUUGAUUGUGCCUCCAUCAUCUCUGUGAACGCUCGUCGCUAUUGUGCGUUCGUCUCGUGGUUAAAAUAAUUGUACAUCUUCUCUGCCUAUUUGGUAUGUAAGUAGUGUGUUUUCCUCUUCUGGUUGAUAUGCAAGUAAUGUGUGCUCAUUGGAAGUUAAUGUCAUACAGGAAAGAGGGAAGCACCACAAUGAACUGCAGUCGAGUUCGAGGAAUAAUUGUUCUUAUAAUGCAAUUUGGGCUCUGUUAAUUGGUGAAUUCUAUUUUAGAAGUCCACUUUUAUAGGGAAAAAGGGUGCUGUUCAAAGAAUUAGGUAGCUUGCCUGAAUUCUUCUUGUGGGAGUUGUGCAGAAUCCAGGACAAUUUUUCUCCCCAUAACCACUUUGGUGUCCUCUUAUGGAACAAGUUAUACACCACUCUGAUGGCCCAGAUAAUUGAAUGGUCCAUGGCUAAGUUGUUAAUUGCAAGGUGGAGAAUGAGGGUCUAAGUUGUUGAUGCAAGGUGGAGAAUGAGGGUCAAGUUGUUGAUUGCAAGGUGGAGAAUGGGGGCUAAGUUGUUGAUUGCAAGGUGGAGAAUGAGGCCAAGUUGUUGAUUGCAAAGUGGUGAAUGGGGGCCAAGUUGUCUACUACCAAAUAGUUUUACAUUCACAUUGUAGAACAUGAAUUUCAUGGUCAAUGUAUAUGAAUCAUUGGAUUGUGCUCCAUGUAAUGCAUCCGGCAUGAUUUAAUAAAGAGAUCUUUCCGUUUA